UCGGCCAAUUUUUGUAGAUCAUACGGCACAACCAGCAUCUAUUUUAGAAAGGUUCUCCAUGCCAUAGGGGAGCUUCGUAAUGAUUACAUAACGCCACCAUCAUUGGAGAUCCCCACAAAAAUUACAGGAAAUCAUCGAUUUGACCCAUAUUUUAAGGAUUGUAUUGGAGCUAUCGAUGGUACACAUGUGCAAGCAGGUGUUACCAAAGAUGUGGAGCAUUCUUUUCAGGGUAGGAAGGCCUUCACCACUCAAAAUGUGAUGGCAGCGGUAGAUUUUGAUCUACGCUUCACAUAUGUGUUAGCUGGUUGGGAAGGGUCAGCACAUGAUGCAACUGUUUUAGCUGAUGCAUUAACACAUGAGAGGGGCUUACAAGUACCACCGGGAAAGUUCUACCUAGUUGAUGCUGGCUAUGGAGCAAAGCCUGGGUUCUUGCCCCCUUUUCGUGGUGUGAGGUACCAUUUGAACGAGUGGGGCAACAAUCCAGUCCAAAAUGAUAGGGAGCUAUUCAACCUUAGGCACUCAUCUCUACGGGUGACGGUGGAGAGGGCUUUUGGAUCUCUGAAGAGGCGCUUCAAAA